rnacentral:rRNA from 1 species
GAUGAACGCUAGCGGCAGGCCUAAUACAUGCAAGUCGAACGGUGUCUUCGGACAUAGUGGCGCACGGGUGCGUAACACGUAUGCAACCUACCUUACAUUGGGGGAUAGCCUUUCGAAAGGGAGAUUAAUACCGCAUAAGACAGUAGCUGGGCAUCCAGCAGCUGUUAAAGAUUUAUCGAUGUAAGCUGGGCAUGCGUCCAAUUAGCUAGUUGGUGAGGUAACGGCUCACCAGGCAAUGAUUGGUAGGGGAACUGAGAGGUCAAUCCCCCACACUGGCACUGAGAUACGGGCCAGACUCCUAUGGGAGGCAGCAGUAGGGAAUAUUGGGCAAUGGACGCAAGUCUGACCCAGCCAUGCCGCGUGCAGGAUGAAGGCGUUAUGCGUUGUAAACUGCUUUUAUACAGGAAGAAACGACUCUUGCGAGAGGCAUUGACGGUACUGUAUGAAUAAGCACCGGCUAACUCCGUGCCAGCAGCCGCAGUAACAC